AGGAUGAACGCUGGCGGCGUGCCUAAUACAUGCAAGUCGAGCGCCCCUUUAAGAGGUGACAAUCAUUUGAUUGUCGGUUCCUAUGGGGAGCGGCGGACGGCUGAGUAACGCGUGGGAACGUGCCCCAAAGUGAGGGAUAAGCACCGGAAACGGUGUCUAAUACCGCAUAUGAUCUUCGGAUUAAAGCUUUAUGCGCUUUGGGAGCGGCCUGCGUCCUAUUAGAUAGUUGGUGAGGUAAAGGCUCACCAAGUCAACGAUGGGUAGCUGGUCUGAGAGGAUGACCAGCCAGACUGGAACUGAGACACGGUCCAGACUCCUACGGGAGGCAGCAGUAAGGAAUCUUCCACAAUGGGCGAAAGCCUGAUGGAGCAACGCCGCGUGCAGGAUGAAGGCCUUCGGGUCGUAAACUGCUUUUAUGAGUGAAGAAUAUGACGGUAACUCAUAGAAUAAGGGUCGACUAACUACGUGCCAAGCGAGCCGCGGUAAUCGUGA
rnacentral:rRNA from 1 species